ACUAGUGUCCUAUAGUAACACAGAAGCUAUCUGUUCAACUCUGAUGAGUUAAUAGAGUUGGAUCGUUCCACUUCUGACAGCU
rnacentral:snoRNA from 1 species